GAACGCUGGCGGCGUGCUUAACACAUGCAAGUCGAACGAAGCACUUUAUUUGAUUUCCUUCGGGACUGAUUAUUUUGUGACUGAGUGGCGGACGGGUGAGUAACGCGUGGGUAACCUGCCUUGUACAGGGGGACAACAGUUGGAAACGGCUGCUAAUACCGCAUAAGCGCACAGCAUCGCAUGAUGCAGUGUGAAAAACUCCGGUGGUAUAAGAUGGACCCGCGUUGGAUUAGCUAGUUGGUGAGGUAACGGCCCACCAAGGCGACGAUCCAUAGCCGACCUGAGAGGGUGACCGGCCACAUUGGGACUGAGACACGGCCCAAACUCCUACGGGAGGCAGCAGUGGGGAAUAUUGCACAAUGGGCGAAAGCCUGAUGCAGCGACGCCGCGUGAGCGAAGAAGUAUUUCGGUAUGUAAAGCUCUAUCAGCAGGGAAGAUAAUGACGGUACCUGACUAAGAAGCACCGGCUAAAUACGUGCCAGCAGCCGCGGUAAUACGUAUGGUGCAAGCGUUAUCCGGAUUUACUGGGUGUAAAGGGAGCGCAGGCGGUGCGGCAAGUCUGAUGUGAAAGCCCGGGGCUCAACCCCGGUACUGCAUUGGAAACUGUCGUACUAGAGUGUCGGAGGGGUAAGCGGAAUUCCUAGUGUAGCGGUGAAAUGCGUAGAUAUUAGGAGGAACACCAGUGGCGAAGGCGGCUUACUGGACGAUAACUGACGCUGAGGCUCGAAAGCGUGGGGAGCAAACAGGAUUAGAUACCCUGGUAGUCCCCGCCGUAAACGAUGAAUACUAGGUGUUGG
rnacentral:rRNA from 1 species